rnacentral:rRNA from 1 species
GACGAACGCUGGCGGCGUGCUUAACACAUGCCAGUCGAACGGAAAGGCCCUGCUUUUGUGGGGUGCUCGAGUGGCGAACGGGUGAGUAACACGUGAGUAACCUGCCCUUGACUUUGGGAUAACUUCAGGAAACUGGGGCUAAUACCGGAUAGGAGCUCCUGCUGCAUGGUGGGGGUUGGAAAGUUUCGGCGGUUGGGGAUGGACUCGCGGCUUAUCAGCUUGUUGGUGGGGUAGUGGCUUACCAAGGCUUUGACGGGUAGCCGGCCUGAGAGGGUGACCGGCCACAUUGGGACUGAGAUACGGCCCAGACUGCUACGGGGGGCAGCAGCGGGGAAUAUUGCACAAUGGGCGGAAGCCUGAUGCAGCAACGCCGCGUGCGGGAUGACGGCCUUCGGGUUGUAAACCGCUUUCGCCUGUGACGAAGCGUGAGUGACGGUAAUGGGUAAAGAAGCACCGGCUAACUACGUG